rnacentral:rRNA from 1 species
CCUACGGGUGGCAGCAGUGAGGAAUAUUGGUCAAUGGCCGGAAGGCUGAACCAGCCAUGCCGCGUGAAGGAUGAAGGUUCUAUGGAUCGUAAACCUCUUUUAUAAGGGAAUAAAGUGUGGGACGUGUCCUAUUUUGUAUGUACCUUAUGAAUAAGGAUCGGCUAACUCCGUGCCAGCAGCCGCGGUAAUACGGAGGAUCCGAGCGUUAUCCGGAUUUAUUGGGUUUAAAGGGUGCGUAGGCGGCCUUUUAAGUCAGCGGUGAAAGUCUGUGGCGCAACCAUAGAAUUGCCGUUGAAACUGGGGGGCUUGAGUAUGUUUGAGGCAGGCGGAAUGCGUGGUGUAGCGGUGAAAUGCUUAGAUAUCACGCAGAACCCCGAGUGCGAAGGCAGCCUGCCAAGCCAUGACUGACGCUGAUGCACGAAAGCGUGGGGAUCAAACAGGAUUAGAUACCCUUGUAGUC